rnacentral:ncRNA from 1 species
UUGAGCCGUAUGAGCGGGAAACUCUCACGUACGGUUCUUAGAUGAGGGAAAGGGAGCAAUCCAUUUUUCUUAAUCGAU